rnacentral:tRNA from 1 species
AGAAUAGCUCAGUUGGUAGAGCACUUGACUUGUAAUCAGGCGGUCGCCGGUUCGAUUCCGGCUUCU